AACCUUGGCUCCUCAAAAUUUUUAUAAUUUUAUCUCACCUCCCCCAAACAAAUAAAAUUUAUGGCUUUGCCCUUCUAUUCCUUUUACCAAAAGUAUUUUUAUUUUCUAAAAAUGAAAAUAAAAAUAUUUUUUCAAAAAAACAAUAGAAAUUUCUCAUUAUGUAUAGUAAAUGAAGAUAUGCAAAAUAAGCAUCAAUAUCAAGUUACUCAAUACAUAUAUAUAAUUGAUAUAAUAUUUAGAGUUACUCAUAAUCCCUC
rnacentral:lncRNA from 1 species